UCGGCAUCGCUAUUCUUCUAUCUUUAUCCACUGCCAUUAUAACGUGGACCUCACUAUAUAUAGUUAACCUAGAAUAAAUUCAUCAACAGUCGUCAGUCUUGUUUGAAACAGAUAACAGAGUUUCGAAAAUUUGCAUAAUAUGUACAUGACUAUUAUUUUAUAAACCACUAUAAUUUUAAUUCGUGUUUUUACUGUUGGUUAUGGUAUUAGUUAUAAAAUGAAGUAGCAAUAAUGUAGCAUACCUAAUAAAAAAAUCUUUAUUAUAACAAGAAAGAAACUGACUUAUAUGUUGAUAACAAUAGCAUUAGGCUACUACUGCCUAUAUCGUACCUAUAUUUUGAGUUUUCUGUGGAGAACGAAUGGCUCAAGUUAAUGAAGCUAAUGAAAUAUCAAAAACCUACCAA